UUUAGCCUCGGAUCUCAUUUCACUAGUUCAUCAAAUUUCACAAUCCCUGUAAUAUUUUGAGAUGGAUUUUUUUAAAGUUCCAUUAGAAUGUCCCUUGGUGAUGUCACCAUGGUUGUGAUAAAUAACUGUAGUUUAAAGGUUACUUAACUAAGAGUACUAGACAUAACUGCCCUCACAGCACUCCUGAUAUGUGACUUAUCACCAGAUCCUGCGAUUGCUGACAGCGGUGCACAGAACAGUCUGGAAUGUUGCUAGGGACAGGCAGAUGGAAAGGAUACUGCAGAGAAGACCAAGAAAGAGAAAUAGGAAGAAAAUGCAGAGUGGGUUGUCAUGGAAUCUUCAAGAAGGAAGCUCAUUGCCUGACCCACUUGUUUCAUAAUGCAAUGAAAUGCUAAAGAAUUUUAACUCCAUAAGGAAAAUCAGGGCAAGACAAUAAAAGAAACAUUAAAUAUUAGUAAAAGUACACUCAA
rnacentral:lncRNA from 1 species